GGGUCCGUAGCUCAGUGGUAGAGCAGUCCCCUCAUAAGGGAUGGGUCGUAGGUUCGAUCCCUACCGGACCCA
rnacentral:tRNA from 1 species